rnacentral:rRNA from 1 species
GACGAACGCUGGCGGCGUGCUUAACACAUGCGAGUCGAGCGGAAAGGCUCCUUCGGGAGUACUCGAGCGGCGAACGGGUGAGUAACACGUGGGUAAUCAACCCCUGACAUCGGGAUACCCCGGGGAAACCCGGAUCAAUACCGAAUAAGGUGCGGAGUCGCUGGACGCCGUACCAAAGGUAGCUUCGGCCUCCGGUCAGGGACGAUCCCGCGGCCCAUUAGCUUGUUGGCGGGGUAAUGGCCCACCAAGGCGACGAUGGGUAGCUGGUCUGAGAGGACGAUCAGCCACACUGGGACUGAGACACGGCCCAGACUCCUACGGGAGGCAGCAGUGGGGAAUAUUGCGCAAUGGGCGAAAGCCUGACGCAGCAACGCCGCGUGCGGGAAGAAGGCUUUCGGGUCGUAAACCGCUUUCAGCAGGGACGAAGCUUCCGGGGUUAAUAGCCUACGGGGUGACGGUACCUGCAGAAGAAGCCCCGGCUAACUACGUGCCAGCAGCCGCAGUAACAC